UACGUAGGGGGCAAGCGUUGUCCGGAUUUAUUGGGCGUAAAGAGCGUGUAGGCGGCUUGACAAGUCUGCUGUGAAAACUCGAGGCUCAACCUCGAGCUGUCGGUGGAAACUGUCUGGCUAGAGUCCGGAAGAGGAGAGUGGAAUUCCUGGUGUAGCGGUGAAAUGCGCAGAUAUCAGGAAGAACACCUAUGGCGAAGGCAGCUCUCUGGGACGGUACUGACGCUGAGACGCGAAGGCGUGGGGAGCGAACAGG
rnacentral:rRNA from 1 species